rnacentral:misc_RNA from 1 species
GAUGAAGAACGCAGCGAAAUGCGAUACGUAAUGUGAAUUGCAGAAUUCAGUGAAUCAUCGAGUCUUUGAACGCACAUUGCGCCCCCUGGUAUUCCGGGGGGCAUGCCUGUCCGAGCGUCAUUGCUGCCCUCAAGCACGGCUUGUGUGUUGGGCCUCCGUCCUCCUCCCGGGGGACGGGCCCGAAAGGCAGCGGCGGCACCGCGUCCGGUCCUCGAGCGUAUGGGGCUUCGUCACCCGCUCUUGUAGGCCCGGUCGGCGCUUGCCGACACAUCAAUCUUUUUUCCAGGUUGACCUCGGAUCAGGUAGGGAUACCCGCUGAACUUAAGCAUAUAAAUAAGCGGAGGA